rnacentral:rRNA from 1 species
GAGGAAUUUUCCGCAAUGGGCGAAAGCCUGACGGAGCAAUGCCGCGUGAAGGAUGAAGGCCUAUGGGUUGUAAACUUCUUUUCUCAGAGAAGAAAUUUUGACGGUAUCUGAGGAAUAAGCAUCGGCUAACUCUGUGCCAGCAGCCGCGGUAAGACAGAGGAUGCAAGCGUUAUCCGGAAUGAUUGGGCGUAAAGCGUCUGUAGGUGGUUUGACAAGUCUUUUGUCAAAGAUCAGGGCUUAACCCUGGGCCGGCAAGAGAAACUAUCAGACUAGAGUUCGGUAGGGGCAGAGGGAAUUCCCAGUGGAGCGGUGAAAUGCGUAGAGAUUGGGAGGAACACCAAAGGCGAAAGCACUCUGCUGGGCCGCAACUGACACUGAGAGACGAAAGCGAGGGGAGCAAA